UACAGAGGUCUCAAGCGUUGUUCGGAUUCAUUGGGCGUAAAGCGCGCGUAGGCGGACCUGCAAGUCGGGGGUGAAAGCCCGAGGCUCAACCUCGGAACUGCCUUCGAUACUGCGGGUCUCGAGUCCGGGAGAGGUGAGUGGAAUUCCUAGUGUAGAGGUGAAAUUCGUAGAUAUUAGGAAGAACACCAGUGGCGAAGGCGGCUCACUGGCCCGGUACUGACGCUGAGGCGCGAAAGCGUGGGGAACAAACAGG
rnacentral:rRNA from 1 species